rnacentral:antisense_RNA from 1 species
CCCCUUCCGCGAACCCCGAGCGGGUAGACCCAGAGCAAUCCAAGUGUGGAAACAGUGGAGAGGGGGGGUGUUGAGCUGGGGUCUCCAUGCCUCGUUGGGGAGAGGGAGCUCACGUACCCACAGCAGCAGUUGCGUGAUGACGACGUGGGCGAGCUCGGCCGCCAGGUGGAGUGGGGAGCGCAGCUGUGGGUCCUCUACGCUGGUGUCGAGCGGCCCGUGUCGCGCAUGGGCCAAAAGCAGAAGAACAGUGGCCACGUCCUGGGCCUGCACGGCGGCCCACAGCUGGCGGCCCAGCGGCUCCUCCGUGGUGCUCAGCGGCGCCAGGAACAGCAGCUGCUCGUACUUGGAGCGAAUCCACGACUCGCGCUCCUCCCUGCAAGACCAGGGAUCAACGGAAAAGGCUCUAGGGACUCCCAGCCAGGACCUCUGCCCCUACCCACGGGACUGUCUCAGGUUCGCACACCCUCAGCAACCCUCCCCUCCCUCUGUUCCCUCACGCUUACCGCGAAGAGUCCCGCGUAGGCUUGGCACGGCCUCGCGUGUCGCUUUCCCACACGCGGUUGGCCGUGUCGUUGCCAAUAGCUGUCAGCACCAGGGUCAGCUCCCGUGGCCAGUCGUCCAAGUCCAGCGAGCGGACGCGGGACAGGUGUGUGCCCAGGUUGCGGUGGAUGCCAGAACACUCGAUGCAGAUGAGGGCGCCCAGGUUCAAGCUAGCCCACGUGGGGUCUGCGGACGGAGCGUAGAGGUCGGCUCCCAGCCGGGCAGCACAGGCACCCCGGCAUUCACCACACUCCCUAGCCCCUUCGCUGCCUCCUGGCACUCACUGGGGGCCCCGCAGUCCACGCAGAUUGAAUUCCCCUUGGCGUUCCGGAUCGCCUGGAUGGCCACGGCCUCGCUUUGGCUGUCUGUGCGCAGCUGCAGAGAGGGUUUGGGUUGGCACUGACUCUGCCUCCAAGCCCCACCUCCUUCUCAGACACCUCUGCUCUCCUCUUACACGACUUCGGCGGGCCGUGUCGUUGCCAAUGGCCGUCAGCACCAGGGUCAGUUCCUGCGGCCAGUCCUCCACCCCACCUCAGACUCUUACCUUGACCUUGCUGCUCUCACAGCAUUGAAGACUGGCUAGGAUCUGACUCUCGAUGGCCUGGACCCAGGCAUCCCGCUCCUCAAAACUGGCUGCCUCAAAGUGCCACGUCUGACCCGUGCUGGACACGAUCAGGAACUCAAAGUUUUCCUCUGAGUGGGGGAUGGGAUGGGGUCAUUAAGGGACAGAGUUCAAGCAGGGGCUGCCUUCCCCAAGUCCGUCCUCCCUGAUGUCCAUCCGGAGCCCCUGGGAGUGGGGCAGUGGGGGUAGGGGAAGCAGAGGGUGGGGGGCAGCAGGAAGCCCGAGCACAUGCAGGGGAAGGUGGGGGCACCCCCACCCUUCUGCACCCCAGCUGAGCACCCCUCCCGGCUCCCCACUUGUUACCUGCUUUAUAAAUAUUUCUUAAACUACCAAAGGAUUUUA